rnacentral:rRNA from 1 species
UACGUAGGGACCGAGCGUUAUCCGGAUUUAUUGGGCGUAAAGCGCGCGUAGGCGGCCACACACGUCGGUUGUGAAAGCUCGGAGCUCAACUCUGAGAGGCCUUCCGAUACGGUGCGGCUAGAGGUAGGUAGGGAGAGCGGAAUUCCUGGUGUAGCGGUGAAAUGCGUAGAUAUCGGGAGGAACACCGAAGGCGAAGGCAGCCUGCUGGGGCUGUCCUGACGGUCAGGGACGAAAGCU